GACGAACGCUGGCGGCGUGCUUAACACAUGCAAGUCGAGCGGAAAGGCCACUUCGGUGGUACUCGAGCGGCGAACGGGUGAGUAACACGUGAGUAAUCUGCCCCUGGCUUUGGGAUAGCCACCGGAAACGGUGAUUAAUACCGGAUAUGACACAUUCUCGCAUGAGUUUGUGUGGAAAGUUUUUCGGCCAGGGAUGUGCUCGCGGCCUAUCAGCUUGAUGGUGAGGUAAUGGCUCACCAUGGCUUCGACGGGUAGCCGGCCUGAGAGGGUGACCGGUCACAAUGGGACUGAGACACGGCCCAGACUCCUACGGGAGGCAGGAGUGGGGAAUAUUGGACAAUGGGCGGAAGCCUGAUCCAGCAACGCCGCGUGAGGGAUGACGGCCUUCGGGUUGUAAACCUCUUUCAGUACCGACGAAGCGCAAGUGACGGUAGGUACAGAAGAAGCACCGGCCAACUACGUG
rnacentral:rRNA from 1 species